rnacentral:misc_RNA from 1 species
UUAUUUUUUUUAUACUAAUAAAUCAGACAAUAUAUAUUUCUUCACGAAUUUUUUAUUUGGAUUCUAUCCACUGGCAGCUUCCUAGCUAGAGCUAAAUAAAUAUAAAACUAGAGGACCAACUUUUUGUAUAUACAAUUGCCGGUCUGUCCAAUGGAAGCAACAUGGUAAAUGAUAAACAAAGGGGUUUUUAAUAAUACAAACUAUCAAUAAUGAUCCUUCCGCAGGUUCACCUACAGAAA